rnacentral:rRNA from 1 species
CGGGGGGUGCAAGCGUUGUUCGGAAUUAUUGGGCGUAAAGCGCACGUAGGCGGAUUCGUAAGUCAAUUGUGAAAGCCCUGGGCUUAACCUGGGAAUUGCAGUUGAAACUGCGAGCCUUGAAUACUUGAGAGGAUGACGGAAUUCCUGGUGUAGAAGUGAAAUUCGUAGAUAUCAGGAGGAACACCCGAGGCGAAGGCGGUUAUCUGGCAAAGUAUUGACGCUGAGGUGCGAAAGCGUGGGUAGCAAACAGGAUUAGAUACCCUGGUAGUCCACGCCGUAAACGAUGGAUACUAGGUGCUCGAGGUGUUAACCCCUUGUGUACCGUAGCUAACGCAUUAAGUAUCCCGCCUGGGGAGUACGGCCGCAAGGCUA